ACGCUGGCGGUAGGCUUAACACAUGCAAGUCGUGCGAGAAAGUAUCUUCGGAUAUGAGUAGAGCGGCGGACGGGUGAGUAACGCGUAGGAAUCUACCUAGUAGAAGGGGAUAGCCCGGGGAAACUCGGAUUAAUACCGUAUACCUCCUUUGGGAGAAAGAAGGCCUCUCUUUGAAGCUUUCGCUACUAGAUGAGCCUGCGUAAGAUUAGCUUGUUGGUGAGGUAAAGGCUCACCAAGGCAACGAUCUUUAGCGGGUCUGAGAGGACGAUCCGCCACAUUGGGACUGAGACACGGCCCAGACUCCUACGGGAGGCAGCAGUGGGGAAUAUUGGACAAUGGGCGCAAGCCUGAUCCAGCCAUACCGCGUGUGUGAAGAAGGCCCUAGGGUUGUAAAGCACUUUAAGUUGGGAAGAAAAGUUAUUGGUUAAUACCCAAUAACCGUGACAUUACCUUCAGAAUAAGGACCGGCUA
rnacentral:rRNA from 1 species